rnacentral:lncRNA from 1 species
UUUUUAGGGCUAAACCCAAGGCACAUGGAGAUUACCAGGCUAGGGGUCAAAUUGGAGCUACAGCUGCUGACCUAUACCACAACCACAGCAACGCAGGAUCUGAGUCACAUCUGCAACCUAUACCAUUGCUCAAGACAAUGCCAGAUCCUUAGCCCCAUUGAGCGAGGCCAGGGAUCGAACCCACAUCCUCAUGGAUCCUAAUCAGGUUCGUUAACUGCUGAGAUACUAAGGGAACUCCUAAAAUAUCUUUUCCAUUAGAAGAAUUUAAUAUCUAUAGUAAACAGUGUUAGGCUGAUCACUGGGUAGUAGUCGAAGAUUUUAUAACCAGGGUCAAUAUAUUUAUUAGAUCUCUAAUUUUUAGCAAGCAAUUUGAAAAACAGGGAGACAACCAAAACUGGGAGAACUAGGUGAUCAACGUGGAUUCUCAUCUUAAAUGUACUUAAAGACUGAUAUUAAUUAUUAUAAUUAUUAUUUCCAGGGGACAAGAUAAGGCUAAGACAGUUCAAGAAUUUCCCCAAGAUUGUCAAGCUGACCUAUGAAUGACCCAGAUUUUUUUUUCUUUUUAUGGCCCAGGCCAGGGAUUGAACCAGAGUGCACCUGCAGCCUACACUAGAGCCACAGCAAUACUGGAUACAAGCCGCAUCUGUGACCUAUGCCACAACUUGAGAGAACACCUGAUUCUUAACCAACUGAAUGAGGCAGGGAUCAAACCCACAUCCUCACAGAGACAACGUCAGGUCCUUAACCCACUGAGUCACAAUGGGAAGUCCAAUAAACCAGAAUUUAAAUGCAGGCAGUAAGCCUUUAAGCCAGAGUCCUGGAGCCAACUAAUUAAAAUUGGUCUUUUGUGGUAAGCUGCUCUACUGUGCAGCUCCAGUAAAAAUAAAGAGAAUGAAAGGGUAUUAAAGAUAGCGUGAAGGAAGUUGAAUCAGAUCAAACAGUGCUGUGAAAUGUAACACAUUUAAAGGAAUAAGAUUUCUGAGUAAGAAUGUAUUAGUAUUAUCCACAUUUUCUUUGCAGAAACUUGCUUCCGCUUUUCCUGAAUUAUGUGGUCAUGCUAAUGAUAGCCAGUUAUCCUAGAUUGGUUUGACAGAAAAUUCAAGAAGAAAACAAUUUGCAGAUGUCUCAGAAAUAGACUCAUUUUGUCAGAUUGCUCUGUUGGUGAUGGUUUGGUUUUGUGUGAAUAAUCUUCCCCCAAUAUGUAUUCAGUAGAAAUGAUACAAACCAGCUUUGCAGAUAGGUCUCUUAAGAAAAAUUAGCCUUGUUCUUACCUAUGUUUCCUAAAGGCAUCUUUCCAUCUGAUUAUUUCUCUUCAGUUUAUUUUGGAGUAGAUAUAAAGGAAGCAUUGAAAAUCUGCUCCCAGAAAAUGCUUGCAAAGUUUCAUCUAAAACAGAUUCUUAUGGAAAAGUAAGAAUAAUGAGCUCACUGCCUGAUUUUUGUCAGACAUCACCUAUCUUCUUUAGAGACUUUCUUAUUAAAUAGCUUCACACAAAUAAUACCCAAUUAGAAAUAUGAAUAUCUAGAUUUGAAGCAAAUGUUUGAAAAGCAUUAAAUCUGGUAUAAAAAAUUUCUACCAUGAAGCAACUACUAGGGCAUAGUAUAUGUUUUAUAAAUAUUUAUUAUUGAAUGAGCAAUGUGAAUUUAACUUGAAUUCAGGUCUGACUCUUUCUCAUAGCUGUUUUAAAAUGUAAUUUACAUAGGAGGAUUUACUUUGGAUGAUUAUCUAAAGCUAAUUUUAUCCAACAAAAGUUAAGUAGAAAUAUGAGCCAUGAUCAUGCCACUCUUCUAUGCAAGACCUUGAAAUGGCUUUGUAUUACACUCUAAGUUUAAAGACCUCACAAUGAUCUUGUAUGAAUUGGCAUCUCUUGCCACCAUUUCUCUGAGACCAGCUCUUGCUGAGAUCUCUCUCAGUCACCCUGCUCCAGUUCCUUUGGCCCCUUGCCUACUUCUCAAACUAGGUGCCAUUCUGUUACUACAGUAUUACUACUGGCUGGCUCUUCUGUUCAGAAUCUUCUUCACAAUUGCAACAUGGUUGAUUCCAUCUUAUUCCGCAAGCAUUCAGUAGAAGACAUUAAUAUAAUGUCAAUUCUGAUCACCCUAUUUAAAUAUGUUUGAUCCACUGACACUUUUUGCCAGUUAUUAUCUUCUAACACACUAGAAAACCUAUGUAUAAUAUGUAUAUAUUUUAAUUUUCUAACACUUUCUCCCAAAAUGUAAGCUUCUGGAGUGCAGAAAUGUUUAACAAAACAAACACUGUUGAAUCUCAAGCAUUUAGUUCAGUGCCUAAAUUGUAGAUGCUGAAUUAAUAUUUGUUCAAUGAAAGACUGGAUAAAUGAAAGCAUCGUCAUAUUAUCCAACCAAAAUUGGUCUCUAAAUAGCCAUCAUCUGUUUCAUAGAUGCAGUGUAAAAAGUCAGUAAUUUUUUAAUUUGGCUAAUCCUUCACCAGGGCAACAUUAAUGAAUAUAAUUCUUCCAGGGCAUACUUUUGCUAAGUGUUUAGAGCAAUUACUAGUUAAAUACUGUGCUUUAUUGCUGAAGUUUGAUGAGUGUUACUUUAUAAAAAUGUCAAUUAAAAAGGAUUCAAAAGACAUGCUUUUAAGUCAUACACAAUCCUAUUAUCUUUGAUAAGAGUAAAUGCUAAAGAGUAUGAAUCUGAGACAGGGAAAAACAAGACAAUUAUCCAAACUAUGUGUUCUUUGAAACUAUGUCUGUCUCAUUGAAUAAAACCUUUCAACAGUUUGACAUUUAAAAAUUCUCAAUAAAUAUUUACUGAUACAAGAAUGCAUUCCAAAAGUCCCCUUUCUCUAGCAUUCAUGAAAGUGUCAAGAAUUUUUAAUUUUAGCUGCUGAGACUUAGGAAGAUCUGUAGAGGUUCCAGGUCCUCUCUACCCAGGAGGAAUUUUGGCUAAAUGACUUCAAAGCUCCCACUCAAUCAGUUUCUUCUUAUUUUAACUAGUCUGCUAGAUUAUAGAAUUCCUUAGAUAGAAGAACACUGGGAAAUAGGCUAACGAGUGCUUUAUUCUUCAAAUUGUCAUGCUUUAACUAUGGUUCUCCUUAAUCUGUGCCUAAAGAAGACAUCCUUUUCAGUUAAGUCUACAAGCAUCACGCUGAAAGAAAGAAUCUCAUCACUUUCUUCUCUGUGUUUUGUUUUCGGUUUUAUUUAUUUAUUUUUUGGCUGUGCCCACAGCAUGCAGAAAUGCCCAGCCCAGGGAUCAAACCCAUGCCACAGCAGCGACCCAAGCCACAGCAGCAACGAUGUCAGAUCCUUAACCCGUUGUGCUACCAAGGAACUCCUCUUCUCUGUGUUUUAAUAUUAUACCCCCAAAGGAAACAUAUCUAUACAGUGAAUAGAUAUCAAUUCCUGCUUGAAUUUCAUCAAUGACAAGAAAGCAAUAAAUUCUAUUCUUUUUGGGUCUGUGUUCAGUGCAAAAUAGUGUGUACUACAGCAUGGAGCGACAGGUUUAAACUGAUUUAGCUUUAGGGAAUUUAAUGAAAAAAAAAUCUACAAUGAGAGAAAAUCAAAGAAAGAACAUUUAAUCAAAAAUCAAAUUUCUUGGAGUGUCUAUCCUGACACCACGGAAACAAAUCCGACUAGGAACCAUGAGGUGGCAGGUUCAAUCCCUGGCCUCGCUCAGUGGCUUAAGGAUCUGCGUUGCCAUGAGCUGUGGUGUAGGUCACAGAUGCAGCUCAGAUAUAGUGCUGCUGUGGCUGUGGAGCAGGCCGGCAGCUUAUAGCUCUGAUUAGACCCCUAGCCUGGAACCUCCAUAUGCUGCGGGUGUGGCCCUAAAAAGACAAAAAAAAAAUAUCAAAUUUCUUUAACAAUGAUUUUUCUACAGUCCCUUUUGCUAUCAUCUUAAACUCAAAUAUUUGAUUCAAAGCUUUUCCUUCAAUCUUACUUAGUCAAAGAAUUAUCAUGAUGCAAUUGAAACUUUAGAUUCUCUUUGCUGAGAUUUUUCAUGACAGUUCAAUCAGAGACAUGAUUUGCAAAAGGUCCUCCUAUGGUCUGAAUGUUUAUGUCUCCCCAAAAUUAAUAUGUUGAAUCUCCAAGUUUUGGCAUUAGGUGGUAGGACCUUUGAGAUGUGAUUAGGUCAUGUGGGUAGAGCCCUCAUGAGACUAGCACCGUUAUGAAAAGAGUACAACAUAGCUCCUGAGCUGAUUCUGUCAUGUGAGGAUAUCACUCGUGAGAUAUAAGAAAUGUCAGAAACAUUAAAAGGUAUCAGAAAGUGCUACCCAUGAAAAUCUGCUCCUGAUUUUUUCAUCACCUAGAAAAAAUGAUCUGCUGGAUAUGGCUACCAUCCACUUUUGGCCACAUUAUCAGAGAGAGGAAAAAAGUCAAUUUUAGAAUAAUACAAACACUUCUAAUGAUUAAGUUAUUAAAAAUGGGAUGAUUGCUUUCUCACAACUAAAACUGUCAAAGCAGAAAUUGAAUGACAAGUGUGGCAAAUCGUUUAGGAUGAUUCAUGUAUCAUGAAGAAAGCUGGCCUAGAAAUUGAACAACCGUGUUCUUUUUACCUACUUGGGGCUAAGUUGUCUCAUGUAAAAUGGUCUUAGCAACAUUGUCCAAAGGCAGUAGACUAGAUAUUUCAGUUUUAAGAACCAUGACUGUCUAAUUUCUUCUGGUCGAGGAUUUCAUCUCAUGAAUUAAGAUAUAUUAAAGUUAUUUUAUCUUUUCAACUAAUUAAUGAUACAAAUAUUAUUGCAUGGUUUUCAUAGAUUAAAUGAGGUACUAAAACUUCAUCAAAAGAUGAAAACUAAAGCUAAAAACUAAAGGUAAGUAGAAAACAGCCAUUAAAAAUGUGAUUAUUUUCUAUCAUUUAGUGAACUCAAUAAGUAAAUUCAUUUGUGAAUAUAACAAAAGUGAUAAAUAUGUACAUUUGAUUUCUAAAUCUCUUCCAUACCUUCCCUGUUGGUAGUCUCCAGAGGUACAUCAUCUUUAGCUGUUUAUAUUGUUGUUGUUGUUCAAGGAGGUUUUAUUCCAAAGAGAAAGAGAGAGAGAGAGAAUGCAGAAACCAGUAAGAAAGGAAGAAAGGAAGGAAGGAAGGAAGAAACAGCGGGAAGGAGGAAGAAAGAAAUUUGCUGUGCUGAAGUAAUGAUACGGUUUAAAGAAAAUAAAUGUUGAAUUGGCUUUUAAGGAAAAUGAGAAUAAACCAAAGUGACUGAUUAUAUUUGGAGGUGUUGUUCCCUUUGAAAACUUCCUCAAGAUUGGAAAGCUUUCAACAGACUGAAAGUCAGAUUUUGUGUAUAGAUCCAAACACUGUGCCGAGUUCCCUCAUUUUACCUUUCAUCAUGUUAUCUCUCUGUUAUUUGCAGUGCACUGUAUUUAAAAAUGGAAUAUCCACUUUGUCAAGUGGGAGAAGUUACUGACUUAUGCAGGAUGCCUAUUUGGCUGCAUUCAUAGGUGCUUCAUUUUGAGCUACUGAUGGAGAAGAUGAUCUAACUGGGUAGGAAUGGGUUAGUUCUUCAGUAAAUAAAGAGAAGGAGGAAGAGAGAGAGAAGCCUGAUGAUCUAAUUAGAAAACCCAAGGAGCAGACUAGGAAGGAAAAUUAAAAUCUGGGUAGUAAUAAGCAAGGGAUUAUCCAAGUAGAAUGGUCCAAUAGGAUACAAUGAAUUAGGGCAAAACAUUAAAGAAGAUAGAGAAGAAUUGGUUUCUUUGGAUGAUCCUGACACUGAGAGGCAUACAGGGAUAUGGGGACAACAGGUUAGGGGCUGAAGAGCAGUGUCUUAAUACUUGGAAAAAUUUAUUCAUUUUUCUUAAAUCACUUGUAAAUGUAAAUACCUGUUUUCUUGCCUCUGCAUUACUUUUGUGAGAGAGGAUCAGAAAUAACCACUUAACUGAAUUGAUCUGAAUUUGGUCAAUAUCACUUACUUUCUCCUUCCACUUAAAAAAAAAAAAGUUCUGGGUGUUUUCUUAGAGAAAAUACAAUAUCUAGUUUAUUUAAAACAUUUUGGCAUAGCUUGCAAACAAACUGAAAUAAAGUCGAUAUAUUUGAAGAGAUCUUUGACCCUGUCAGUAUUCCAUGAGGUGAACGGGGUAAAUAGCAUUGUCCACAUUUCAUUUUAAAGAUAAUUAAGGCAAAACUAUGAUAAAUGAUAAAUAUAAUGUUUAACAUUCAUGAUUAUCAAAUCAGUGCCAAAAGUGUCACUAUAAUGCUUUUAAAAAGGGGAAAAGUAAUAGAAACAAUUUUUUUCUUAUACUUUCAAAACCAUUUGCUAAUAUUCUCUAAGAAACGUGUAUAUAUUUUUUGCCUAAAAAGUCAAAUAUCUUCUGCUAUAGAUAGUCAUCAAUAUUAAGAACUAUAUAAAAAAAAGAACUAUACAAGCAGAGAAAUUAGUUGAUUUUCUCUCUCCUAAUGUUUUUUGCUUUUCUUUAUAUCUUUGUUCAGUUGUUUUGUGUUGUUUGCUUACUUUUAUCUUAGAGCAGAUUGAUAUGUUUUGUGUGUGUAUGUAUACGUUUGCUGUCCUCCUGUGGUUAAUAAAAUGAAAUACAAUAUUGGCUUUGUGUUAUUCACAGUACUGUUAAGGAAAAACUCACAUUUUUAUCAAAAUAUAGGAAAGUUAAUAGACCAUGACCCUUAAUAAAAUAAUAAAAUAAGAUAAUAGGGUUUAAUAAUUAUAUGUUCACUUUUACAGUGGUAGCCAAGGUUGUUUUCAUGGUGAAGCAUUACUAAAUGUCACUAUUGGUCUUUCUGUCCUAAUUCUCUGUAGAUUCCAUAUUUCAAAAGCCUCAAUUAUCUAAUGAAAUCAUUUGGAAAUUAUUUAUUGAAAUGAGUGGUUUUCCAAAAAAAUACUCUGGCUUUCCC